UAGAAAAGAUGGCGGUUCGACUUCUAGAUGCGCAUCGAGAAGUGUUAUUUCUGUUCCGGGACGGUGUACCCGGGGCAUGGCAUGAUGUCUGUCCGCAACUACUGUAAGGAUAAUUCAUUUGAAUUUGAAAACACAGAAAUGAAACUGUUAAAUACCAGAGAGAGCUAUGGAAUAAAACAGUUGAUGCCAUGAAGAGAGUAGAAGAGAUCAAACAAAAAUGUCAAGCUAAUUUAUAAUAAACAGGUGGGAAUAUCUGAAUAAAGUAACUACAGAAGAGCAAAGAACUACAGAAUGUUUAGGCCAUCAAUGAAGUCAAAUAAAACAUCUACCUUAUUCAGGCAUCUCUGGCAGGCAAAGGAAAACAAUUGGAAGAAAAAACAGUGCUCAAAUUACAACAGGAUGUGGACACAGAAGAUUAUUCUUUGAUAUCUCACAAUAUUCUGAAACCUACACUCUGUAUUUCUCUAGAAAAUUUCUUGCAGAGCCUUGGAACUCUUGUGUAUUAUUGAUUUAUUUUUCACAUUAAUUCAGGAAAAUGAGUGGUAGUUAAAAAUAUAUUUCUUCCACAUUGUUAUCUGUAAAAUAUGAAAUUAUGGGGAUGUUAGAGUAUAGUUCAAGGUUAGAGUGACAUUGAAUUGGCCAUUCUUUUGUAACUUUUGAAAGUACUAUUUGUAAUAAUAGAAGUGAGUAGAAACAAAAUGGUUAUAUCAUUUGGAUAAUGACUUCCAGCAUUUUAAAUAUUCUAUAAUUGUAUUAUGGUCAUUGAUGUAUAAAAUAAAACAUUUCUUUUUAAUGUCCUCCCUUUAUGGAAAUGGGAGUGGAAUAAAACUAUGUUUAUUGAAUUAA